AGGGGCAGCGGGAUUGAAGCUUGCUUCAAUUGCCGGCGACCGGCGCACGGGUGCGUAACGCGUAUGCAACCUACCCAUAACAGGGGGAUAACACUGAGAAAUCGGUACUAAUAUCCCAUAACAUCAUGAGGGGCAUCCUUCGUGGUUGAAAACUCCGGUGGUUAUGGAUGGGCAUGCGUUGUAUUAGCUGGUUGGUGAGGUAACGGCUCACCAAGGCGACGAUACAUAGGGGGACUGAGAGGUUAACCCCCACAUUGGUACUGAGACACGGACCAAACUCC
rnacentral:rRNA from 1 species